rnacentral:misc_RNA from 1 species
GAUGAAGAACGCAGCGAAAUGCGAAAAGUAAUGUGAAUUGCAGAAUUCAGUGAAUCAUCGAAUCUUUGAACGCACAUUACGCCCGCUGGUACUCCGGCGGGCACGCCUGUCCGAGCGUCAUUUCAACCCUCAAGCCCUCCUUCGGGAUGGGCCUGGUGUUGGGGCUCGGCCGCCAUCUCCGGCGGCCGUCCCCUAAAUACAGUGGCGGUCACGUCGCGACUCCUUUGCGUAGUAGAAACACCUCGCUCCGGAUAGCAACGCGGUCCACGCCGUAAAAUCCCCAAUUUUCAAUGGUUGACCUCGGAUCAGGUGGGAAUACCCGCUGAACUUAAGCAUAUCAAUAAGCGGAGGA